GACAGAGGCCUCGAGCGUUAGGCGGAAUCACUGGGCUUAAAGCGUGUGUAGGCGGGCCCGUAAGUGUCUUGUGAAAUCCCACGGCUCAACCGUGGAACUGCUGGGCAUACUGGCGGGUCUGGGCCAACUAGGGGCAGCCGGAACAAGCGGUGGAGCGGUGAAAUGCGUAGAUAUCGCUACGGAACGCCGAAGGUGAAAACAGGCUGCUGGGG
rnacentral:rRNA from 1 species